GAUGAACGCUGGCGGCGUGCUUAACACAUGCAAGUCGAACGAAGCACUUUAUUUGAUUUCCUUCGGGACUGAUUAUUUUGUGACUGAGUGGCGGACGGGUGAGUAACGCGUGGGUAACCUGCCGUGUACAGGGGGAUAACAGUUGGAAACGGCUGCUAAUACCGCAUAAGCGCACGGCAUCGCAUGAUGCAGUGUGAAAAACUCCGGUGGUAUAAGAUGGACCCGCGUUGGAUUAGCUAGUUGGUGCGGUAACGGCCCACCAAGGCGACGAUCCAUAGCCGACCUGAGAGGGUGACCGGCCACAUUGGGACUGAGACACGGCCCAAACUCCUACGGGAGGCAGCAGUGGGGAAUAUUGCACAAUGGGCGAAAGCCUGAUGCAGCGACGCCGCGUGAGCGAAGAAGUAUUUCGGUAUGUAAAGCUCUAUCAGCAGGGAAGAUAAUGACGGUACCUGACUAAGAAGCACCGGCUAAAUACGUG
rnacentral:rRNA from 1 species